ACAUCGGAUGGAUCUACUUCA
rnacentral:siRNA from 1 species